rnacentral:rRNA from 1 species
GACGAACGCUGGCGGCGUGCUUAACACAUGCAAGUCGAACGGAAAGGCCCUGCUUUUGUGGGGUGCUCGAAUGGCGAACGGGUGAGUAACACGUGAGUAACCUGCCCUUGACUUUGGGAUAACUUCAGGAAACUGGGGCUAAUACCGUAUAGGAGCUCCUGCUGCAUGGUGGGGGUUGGAAAGUUUCGGCGGUUGGGGAUGGACUCGCGGCUUAUCAGCUUGUUGGUGGGGUAGUGGCUUACCAAGGCUUUGACGGGUAGCCGGCCUGAGAGGGUGACCGGCCACAUUGGGACUGAGAUACGGCCCAGACUCCUACGGGAGGCAGCGGUGGGGAAUAUUGCACAAUGGGCGGAAGCCUGAUGCAGCAACGCCGCGUGCGGGAUGACGGCCUUCGGGUUGUAAACAGCUUUCGCCUGUGACGAAGCGUGAGUGACGGUAAUGAGUAAAGAAGCACCGGCUAACUACGUG